rnacentral:lncRNA from 1 species
UCAAUCAGAGUCAUACAAUAUUCUAAAAAUAUACAUAUAAUCCAUGCAUCAAAUUCAUAAUCACGAAUAAUUCGAUUCGUAAAACAGAUAUUUAGUUUGCCGAUAAAUCUAGUAAAGAGGUUACAUCACUUACCUUGCGAACGCGAUCCACAACAAAUCCAAUUAAUUCCGCAAAUCCCUCGCAGAACCUAAUAUUCAAAAACCAUAUUUUCUUUUAAAAUUCAUCACAAUAUAUAUAUAAAACCUAAAUUUUAACAUUCUCCCAGGGCCGACCCUGCCGAAGUGUCUAGCACCCCGGGUUCAGGUUCGGAUCCGGGUUCAUACCCGUAAACCACCCCCUCUCUUUAUUAUUUAUUUAUUAUAUUUUUUUUCUUUUCUUCUUUCUUCUUUUCUUCUUUUCUCUUUUCUUUUUUUCCCUUUUUCCUUCUUUGCUUUUUCUUUUCCCUUCCUCUCCUUUUCUUUUUCUUUUCUUCUCUUCUUCUCCAGAAACUUCUCCCGACUUCUUUCUUCUUCUCUCUUCUCUGUUUCUUCUCCUUUCCCCGCUUCUUCCUUUCUUCUUUUCC